UCAGUAUCAGGGGCAACGAAUGCAGCCACGCUGACACCAGCGAGCGAGUGGCUCUUCAAGGGCCAAUGAGGAUUCUCCGCUGGGCACCACGGGGUCCCCCCAGGGCCGCCGUGCUGUGCCUCACACGCCGUGAGGACGAGCCGGCGUCCGCGGGCACAGCACAGGCGAUGAACGUCUGCGGCCUGUCACCAGCUCUGUGUCUCUGUAAAGAACCUCAAACGCUGACGCAUCGGGCCCCCGUCCUUCCUGUAGGAGUGCGUCGUUCCUGUCCCCACGAGCCACAUUAGCGGAUCAGGGCACGCGCCGGAGUCUGGCUCGCAGAGGAUGACAAGGAAAGCAGUGGAAACACCGCCUCAGGUUUCGUGCAAACAUACAUGUCCACGUCAGAAACUACAUAUAGAAGAGCAAAUUAAACCCAAAGUGAUGAAAAGAAAGGAAAACAUAAAGAGCAGAAAUCAGUGGAAGAGAAAACAGAAAACAACAUUGGCGCGA